rnacentral:lncRNA from 1 species
AUGAAAACAUCUGGUCUCCCACGUCAUACUUCAUGCCAGCUGAUACAGACCAGGAAGAGAAGCAGACGGAAGGUGAUGGCAUCAGCUAUCUACAUGCCAGCCACAAUCCAGACAUGCUGGAAGGACACUUCUUUGUCAUGUAUAACUCUUCGUGAUCCCAUUUGGAUUUUCUUGGCCAAGAUACUGGAGUGGUUUGUCAAUUCCUUUUCAAGCUCAUAUGACAGAGAAGGUAACUGUGGCAAAGUUAAGUGACUUGCUCAGUGUCACAACUACUAAUAAUUUCCAUUAGCCUCAGUUUACCUUAUUUUGCUCAUUAUUAAAUGGACUGUGAGGGUCUCAAUUCAUUCCUAUCUCACGCCUUCAGUCUAAGUCAGGUCUACUCAGCCCUGGUCCAUUAUAGAGCCUAUGAUCCUAUAAGUUAAGAUGGAGCACUGGGCCUGGAGUCAGGAAGCCAAGAGUUCAAAUCUAAUCUCAGACACUUACUCUCUGUGCAGUCCCAGGCAAGUCAUUUAACCUCUACUUGCCUCAGUUACCUCAUCUGUAAAAUUAGGAUAAUAAUAGCACCUACCUCCCUGGGUUCUAGUGAAGAUAAAAUGAGAUAAUAAUUGUAAAGUGAUUAGCACAGUUAGUAGUCCUUAGUAAACUCUACAUAAAUGUUAACUAUUAUAAUAAUGAUUAUUAUCAUCUUUCUAUUUGUACAGACAAUGACUUCUAGAAGUGAUUACCAACAGCAGUCUUUUAUUCCAAAAUGGCCAGGCAAAAGAAAAAUUAAACCUCAGUGAAAAAUUCCUCUGAAAAGCUCAGAAAGGAAAAGGAAAAAAUCUUUCACAAAGUAAUAACAGGAGUGGCAAAACAAAAGCAUUAAAAGACCAUCUGAUUUUAUUAGUGGGAGCCACAAAUGCAAGGAAAUGCAGAUAAGAAUCAUACCUCCACUCAAUGAAGUGCAGCAGGAAGCCAUUAAGGAGAAGGAUUUGUCGAUUUUCUGGCGAUUUACUCCUUCACCGAGUUUGUCUUACAACUUUAAUGCUAUUUUAAUGUUGCACUUACUCUGUGAAUUUCUGAGAAUAAAAUUUUAUUUAGUUAUCA